CGCGGUGAUACGUAGGGUGCGAGCGUUGUCCGGAAUUAUUGGGCGUAAAGAGCUUGUAGGCGGUCUAUUGCGUCGAAAGUGAAAACUCAGGGCUCAACCCUGAGCCUGCUCUCGAUACGGGUAGACUUGAGGGAUGUAGGAGAGAACGGAAUUCUUGGUGGAGCGGUGGAAUGCGCAGAUAUCAGGAGGAACACCGGUGGCGAAGGCGGUUCUCUGGACAUUUCCUGACGCUGAGAAGCGAAAGCGUGGGUAGCAAACAGGCUUAGAUACCCUGGUAGUCCACGCCGUAAACGGUGGGUACUAGGUGUGGGGGACAUUCCACGUUCUCCGUGCCGCAGCUAACGCAUUAAGUACCCCGCCUGGGGAGUACGGCCGCAAGGCUAAAACUCAAAGGAAUUGACGGGGCCCCGCACAAGCGGCGGAGCAUGCGGAUUAAUUCGAUGCAACGCGAAGAACCUUACCUGGGUUUGACAUAUGCCGGAAAGGCCUAGAGAUAGGUCCCCCCUUGUGGUCGGUUUACAGGUGGUGCAUGGCUGUCGUCAGCUCGUGUCGUGAGAUGUUGGGUUAAGUCCCGCAACGAGCGCAACCCUCGUCCUAUGUUGCCAGCGGAUAAUGCCGGGGACUCGUAGGAUACUGCCGGGGUCAACUCGGAGGAAGGUGGGGAUGACGUCAAGUCUUCAUGCCCCUUAUGUCCAGGGCUUCACGCAUGCUACAAUGGCCGGUACAAAGGGCUGCAAACCCGCAAGGGUGAGCGAAUCCCAAAAAGCCGGUCUCAGUUCGGAUUGGGGUCUGCAACUCGACCCCAUGAAGUCGGAGUCGCUAGUAAUCGCAGAUCAGCAACGCUGCGGUGAAUACGUUCCCGGGGCUUGUACACACCGCCCGUCAAGUCAUGAAAGUCGGUAACACCCGAAGC
rnacentral:rRNA from 1 species